UACGGCGGUCAUAGCGUCAGGGAAACGCCCGGUCACAUUCCGAACCCGGAAGCUAAGCCUGACAGCGACAGCGCCGAUGGUACUGCACUGGGAACGGUGUGGGAGAGUAGGACACCGCCGGAC
rnacentral:rRNA from 1 species